rnacentral:rRNA from 1 species
AGAGUUUGAUCAUGGCUCAGGAUGAACGCUAGCUACAGGCUUAACACAUGCAAGUCGAGGGGAAACGACAUCGAAAGCUUGCUUUUGAUGGGCGUCGACCGGCGCACGGGUGAGUAACGCGUAUCCAACCUGCCCACCACUUGGGGAUAACCUUGCGAAAGUAAGACUAAUACCCAAUGACGUCUCUAGAAGACAUCUGAAAGAGAUUAAAGAUUUAUCGGUGAUGGAUGGGGAUGCGUCUGAUUAGCUUGUUGGCGGGGUAACGGCCCACCAAGGCGACGAUCAGUAGGGGUUCUGGGAGGAAGGUCCCCCACAUUGGAACUGAGACACGGCCCAAACUCCUACGGGAGGCA